GAUGAACGCUGGCGGCGUGCCUAAUACAUGCAAGUCGAGCGAACAGAUGAGGAGCUUGCUCCUCUGACGUUAGCGGCGGACGGGUGAGUAACACGUGGAUAACCUACCUAUAAGACUGGGAUAACUUCGGGAAACCGGAGCUAAUACCGGAUAAUAUAUUGAACCGCAUGGUUCAAUAGUGAAAGACGGUUUUGCUGUCACUUAUAGAUGGAUCCGCGCCGCAUUAGCUAGUUGGUAAGGUAACGGCUUACCAAGGCAACGAUGCGUAGCCGACCUGAGAGGGUGAUCGGCCACACUGGUACUGAGACACGGUCCAGACUCCUACGGGAGGCAGCAGUAGGGAAUCUUCCGCAAUGGGCGAAAGCCUGACGGAGCAACGCCGCGUGAGUGAUGAAGGUCUUCGGAUCGUAAAACUCUGUUAUUAGGGAAGAACAAAUGUGUAAGUAACUAUGCACGUCUUGACGGUACCUAAUCAGAAAGCCACGGCUAACUACGUG
rnacentral:rRNA from 1 species